AAAGUCAUGGUAUUUUUAGUGCACUUUUUAAUUCAUAUUCUUGUUGAACAUUAGAAGUCAGCCAUAAUUAAAAGAUUUACAAACAAAGACUGAGAUUAAAUUCAAUUUUCACAUCACAUCAUACACAACACACAAAACAAUAAGUUAAAGACAAAGAAAAGGACGUUUCAUCCCUCUAAAUGUCUCCAUAUAUAUUAGAAAUUCCUCUUGUUGGUGAAAAGCAGAAAGUUUUACAGAGAGUUUAGAAAACUCAAAGUCACACUUCAACAAAAAACAUUUCUGAAUGCUGAAUCAGGAAGAGGACUCAUCAUGAAUGAAACACUGAUGACUCCAUUCAUAAUAUCAAAGUCAAUCGUUUUAAGACCACCUUCUUCAUAACCUUUAAUCAUAUCACUUUUACAUAUAUAAUGAAUUCAUUUUCCAUAAAUUCAAAAUUUAUCUUGUUAAAAUAACUCAUGUUGUGUCUGUUACAGAUCCAGGGUCUGCAGUCAGGUGUGUUUGUCCAUCAGUGUUCAGCUGUCUGUCUGCUGUCUGGAGGAUGAUGACUUCUGUUUGUUCCUCUGAGGAAAUGGAUCAUCAGUCUCUGUAUGUUCCUCUCUCUGUAGAGGAGACCCGACCAGAACCGGCCCAGAGUUCAGUGCGGCCAUGCAGUGAUGGAGAAAGUUACUUUUAAAAAUGUUAAGGCCAGAAGUGGAAUCAGUAAUCCUUAGGCUGAAGGAAAUGCAAAUUCACAGCUGUACAGUAGAGGGCGCUGCUCAAACAAACCUUUCAGCUGCUGCUGAAGAAAGAUCUACUCUUAUUUUAGCAAUAAAUAAAAAAUAAACAAAUAUGAUGUUUGUCUAAAACCAUUUUUGCUCAUUGGUUGAAUUGGAUCAUUGAAGGUCAGCAGCAAAGACACUUUAUGAAGUGAGAUUAAAUACAUAAAGUAUAUUUGUGUCAUUUAACAUAUUUCAUUAUUGCAGGUUCACAUAAUAUUCAGAGUUUGCAUUUGACAGUUUUUUAUUAAUCUUGAGGAAAACUGAAUCAGGUUUUGUGUAAGUGAGAAAUGCUCACAUUAGUCUACAACUACAAUAAGCAUCAUGUUCACACAACAUCUCUGCACUCUCCAUUCUCUCAACAUGAGGGCAGGAGAGGCUUCAGUCAAUAUAUGGGAAAUCAGAAUAACUUGCAUUACUUAUAUGAAAAAGUAACUCAGAUAUUUAGUUGUAAUUUAAAGUAAUGCAUUACUUUAAUAACUUGUGUUGUAAUGCUUUAGCCCAACACAUGUUCAUUCACAGGAGGAUGAGUGUGAGAGACGAUGAUG